AAACGAGCAUGGCCCCUGUGCAAGGAUGACACGCAAACUCGUGAAGCGUUCCCUAUUGAA
rnacentral:snRNA from 1 species